UUAUUUGUUCCGAAGGAGAGAGUAGGACUUGGAUUCAGAGAUUUACUUAGCUUUAAUUUAGCAAUGUUGGCUAAGAAAGUAUGACACCUCCUCGAGAACCUUGAUUCAUUAUGUGCAAAACUUUUGUGGGCCAAUUACUAUCCGUAUGCGAGGCUUUUGGAAGCCCUAAUGAAGAAUGGCAGUUCAUAUACUUGGCAAAGUAUCUGUGCUGGAAUCCAAACCUUUAAGAGAGGUGCAAUAUAG
rnacentral:rRNA from 1 species